UUGUGUCAAUAUGCGAUGAUGUGUGUGAUGGCACAGCGUCAUCACGUGGUGACGCAACAU
rnacentral:pre_miRNA from 2 species